CGCACCGGCAUUGCAAUGUGUUACUUUUCAUUUUUAAACGGAUUUGUAAAAUCACAAUUCCUGCAAGGGUGGCCAAUAACUAGGUGACCUAUGUACUGUAUGCCGUACCGGUAUUCAUACUGUUUUAACAUUAUUGCAUUCUGCAAGGAUCAUUGAAAUCAAAGGGUUUAUAGAACUGCGGCUGGUUGGAUUUUGAUUUGGGGCAUUGAUUCGUCAGAACAAGAGCGGCAUUUACUGCACAUUGCAGGCAUACUCCACCGUUGAGCAGAAGAUAUAUUCUGCAAAGGAGGUAGCAGAGGAUGCUGCUAUCAAGGGAUUACAAACUGCAAUCAGAUUUGUCACUGUGAUAUUAUCUCCGAAAAUGGCUCUGUUUGCUUGAAGAGCAAUAACAAUCGCACCAACAAUUGGAGAGAUCAUUACAGAAUAGCGGCUUUCCUCUGUUUGAGAGGGUAGCUCCAUCAUUUGAACAAAUUUGGGGUUUCCUUGUAUUUAAACCAGAAAUAUCAAAGGUCAUACUUUAUAACAGUGAGCUGAGCAAACAAUUGCAGUUACACUCCACUGUUGAGCAGAAGAUAGACUCUGCAAAGGAGAUAGAAGACGACUAUCAAGGCAUUACAAACGGCAAUCAGGAUUUCUGAUAUGGUAGCUGUUAAAUUGGAAGGAGCUGCAUCUCCCAUCAAAGACGUCUUCAGGCUCUCCAAGGCUUUGACUACAUUUCUCAUGGAAGGUCGUUCUCUUGGUGAUUCACUACUACAAAGCAAACAGAUAUAUGUUGAAUUUUCGAAUGGAAUGGAUCAUUUUUUGGCUUGCUUCAAUUCUAUGCUAUCUUGUUCAUGUAAAUAGAUUCACAAUACCUCAGGUUCUCACUCAGGUGUUGUCAUCGGAAUCCAUAAUUCAGAUCAAUUUCCCUUUAUUUUGAUUGUGUAUUUCCGAAUUUAAAACAAUAUGAAAAUAUGAUUUCUUU